rnacentral:rRNA from 1 species
UGUAUAAUCAUUACAUUGUUAAUAUAUAAUCAUUGUUUACCUUUGCCCGAGGUUGUUAAUCCAAAGGCAAGGGACAAGAUGCUUGAGCCGUAUGCGCUGAAAGGUGCACGUACGGUUCUUACGGGGGGAAAAUCUGAAAAGAUCUACCUAUCCGAAUAAGUCUCGGUUAGGCCAGUCGUUCGAGCAAUAAAGAUCAUGAUUGGGCGUAAAGCGUUCUUCGGCGGUGCUCUUUUGUCUACUAUGAAGACUCUAGAACAACUCGUUUGACAGCGACUAAUAGAAUUGAAAAGUCACCGAUAAAAUGGGAAUAAUUUUUUAGGAAUAUCACUUGCGAAGGCAAUUAGUUGGGUCAAAACAGUAGCUUAGGAACGAAGGGAUGGGGAUCAAAUACCAUUAGAUACGGUAGUGUGCGACUCGUUUUACAGAAAAGUAUUACAAAUAAUACGUACUGUAAGUAAUACACUUUGUGUUUAUAACUGUGAUUAUUUGCUGGUGAAAAACCAGACGUCGUGGGAGCCGACGAAAAGCAUAGCCCGCAUGCUUUUUUUAGCCAAGCCAACAAAGGCAAAGGGUUAUUCAAAAGGUGUGAAGCCGGGUUAAACGGGGUGAAGUAAACGACAAAUCCCUAGCAAAGAGCAUAUGAUUAGUCAACGAAUCUGUGAUAACGCAUCGUUAAUCUAAUACAUACAGUUGAGGCAUGGUAUAUUACCGAUCAUGCUGUUCCUUCUAAUAACUGUCGGUGUUUAGCAGAAAUCUAAGUGCUCAUAAUUUAGUAAUCACGGAACGAGGAAACCUCAAGGUAGUAACCUUUAUAAGGAGAGGGCUUACAGCUCGCUAACUUGAGAGUAGGAUGAGAUAAAAAGCGAAUGCCAAACUGUAAUAGGGUGGAUAUGCUGACGUGUCUCACGUGAAAAAAAAGUGAUACAAAUUUUAUACAUUUUGUAUAAUUACACGAGGAGCCGUAUGAUGGGAAACUAUCACGUACGGUUUUGAAGUAAGAGUUUCGGGGAGACCCGGCGCUGAUUAUAACAGUCCAUUCAGUCAACGAUGGCUUUUAUGUCUUGGCCUUUGGCCUUGAAUAAGCUAACGCGGAAAAAGCCCGCCUCAAUAGUACGAGCGCAAGCUUAAAAUUGAAACAAUUAAUGCGUGGAGAUUCAAUAUGGUGGAACAUGCGAUUUAAUUCGUCGCUACGCGCUAACCUUACGCGGUCUUGAUUAAUUACAACGGCUUAGUUUGUAAACAAAACUAAGUAUAUAAUUAUAGCUUUGCAUGGUCGUGGUCAGCUCGUUUUUUGUAAAGUUGGGUUAAUUCCAUAAACGAGCGAAACGCGCAUAUUUAUAUUAACUAAUUUCAGUUAAGCUUGAGAUGUACCUAUAAACCACAGCGAAAGAAAUUUUCGAGGAAGAGCGCAUCAUCACAGAUCCUCAUGAAGUUCAUGAUCGCGGCUAUACGCGUGUUACAAUUGAUAAACCAAACAGUAGCAAUUAUGCAAAUAAGUGCGAAUCUGUAAACCUUAUCUAAACGGAUUGCAUUCUGCAACUCGAAUGUAUGAAGCAGGAAUCAUAAGUAAUCGUUUUAAAGAAUUGAAACGGUGAAAUUUGUUCAUCUCCGGCUAUUAAUAGCCCGUCAAUGCCUGGUUAACGGGUGUACAGGAAAAGUGUAGAUUGUGUACCUAUAUUUGAUUGUAUAUUCGGCAGCCGGGCAUAAGUCGUAACACAGUAAUCGUACCGGAAGGUGCGGUUGGCGCCAUUUUUACUUUUUUACC